AUGGAUGGCCUAUUGUAUGCCUUCACGAGCUUUGGACAAAUCGAUACAUUUGAUCUCCAUAGUCCUACCAUUACAAGGAAUAGAAUUAUAAGCGACAUGAAGACUUAUACUCUAGGGCAGCUGUACGUUCUCCAGGCUCCAUCCGGUGAUCUGCUGCAAGUUCACAGGAAUUCGGAAAUCCAAGAUACUGAUGAUGAUGAGGAGGAGGAGUUCAUAUUUGUGACUAACAACAUAUUGUUAUAUAAGGUUGACAUGGUAGCAAAAGAUCUUGUGUUAUUAAACGACUUGCAUGAUCAAGUGCUAUUUCUUGGGUGUAACCAGUCGUAA
rnacentral:rRNA from 1 species